CCUGACAUGAGCAAAGUCAAAGGCCCGGUUCUUUUAGACCGGAUGGGGGGAGAGGCCUUACAACGUCCUAAUGUGCCCCCACAGUCAUGUCAGGAACAGGAGGAGAACCUCGUCUUGACAUGAGCAAAGUCGGAGGCCUGAUUCUUUUAGAUCGGAUGGGGGGAGAAACCCUUGCAAUGGCCCUUAUAUGCCCCCGCGGUCCUGUUGGGAACAAAAGGAGAACCUUGCCCUGACGGUGACGAAGCCCGACCGCCCAAUAAGAUCGGAUGAAGGGGAAAGACCCCUCAGUGGUGCCUUCACACUCCUACACAACCCCGUAAAAAGCGAGGGGAGGGCCCUCACUCGGAAAGAGGAGAGAAAUUAAAGAG
rnacentral:lncRNA from 1 species